CACGGGAGGAGCAAGCGUUGUUCGGAUUCAUUGGGCGUAAAGAGCUCGUAGGCCGCUCUGUAAGUCGGAAGUGAAAGACCACGGCUCAACCGUGGAAACGCUUUCGAAACUGUGGAGCUUGAGGCCGGGAGAGGAGAUUGGAAUUCCUGGUGUAGCGGUGAAAUGCGUAGAUAUCAGGAGGAACACCCGUGGCGAAGGCGAAUCUCUGGACCGGCUCUGACGCUGAGGAGCGAAAGCUAGGGGAGCAAACAGG
rnacentral:rRNA from 1 species